GCGGGCGGCUGUCCAGCAGGGCUGGGAUCCCGCCCCUCCCGAGGGGCUUGCAGGCAUGAGACUCCAGCCUGGGUUUCUGUGAAAGAAUCCCCCCCUCGCAUUCCCCCCCCUUCAGGGAGCGAAGUCGGCAGGACCCACCAGGGUUACCUACCCAGAGAGCUUCCGGGCAGCGGCUCUGGAUGGGCACUUCUAGACAUUUUGCAUUCACAGCCCAGAGGUGGUUUUUUUAGAGUCACUGGGGAAAAGCACCGAGGUCAAGCUCGACAACUGGCUGAGGGGCUUUGGGGAUAUGCCACUGCUAAUUCUGCAGCCUACCCUUACGCCCUGGCAGCUUUGGGACAUUUCGCAACGUCUCCAGGCUCAAGGCUUAUCGCGAGGGAGACGCUGCGGCCAUAAGCUAUGAUGAGGAGUUCCGGAGGUGUGCUUCGCACAGUGAAAAUGCGCGCUGGGACGUAAUUCAUAGCCGGGCCUGGACAUUGUUAGUCCAAACUUUCGCCAAGCCCCAGAAUGUGGCCAAACCCCAGAACACAACUAAGCCCCAAAAAGCAGCCUUGAAAAAGCAAACGAAUGCCAAGACUGGCCAAUGCUGGGACUUUAAUAAAGGGAAAUGCCAAAGGGCCAAGUGCAGGUUUGCACACGUGUGCAAGACCUGCCUUGGCCCGCACGCACGCUCCAGCUGCCCAUUGGGGAAGGGACCCCAACCCUUUUAAAGUUCCUGGCCUGCAGCCACCUCUAGGGCCAGGAGGGGCAGUGGGAGCGGAAUACUUUGGCACAUCAUUGUUCCCACCCCUGGCCUAGAUCAACCACUGCAGUGACUUCUUCACCUGGCCAACUCACCACUAGAGGGUUGUGCUUUAAUUUCCUGUCUUGCCAGAUAUCCUAACUGCAGGGCAGCCAACUUCCUGUUCGAUCGGUUUUUGCAUUCCUUAUUUGGGCCCCGCAUGCUGAUGGAUAGUAGAAAUGUGAGGGGAACAAUUGGAGGCAGAGCCUCAGUGGUAAAACAAAACAGGAACAGGGUAGCUGUUCCCAGGAACCUAAAAAGAACUUAAACUCAGUGAUUUUGGACACUGCAGCUGUGCGCUCAGUUUCCGAAGAGCAAAGCCUAUCAGACAAACAUCUAGUACGAGGAAAGAGUAUUUUAGUUAUCCUUGUUGCAGUUGAAGGAAAUAAAGGGAAACAGGGCAAGUGUUUGCUGCACUCUUAGCCUUGAGCCCAACAGUAGAGCCUCCAGUUUCAGAGGCAGUACAUCUUGGGAAAUCUAAGCUUAGAAGAGUAAAUUCUGACAGAGCCAACAUGGAACCACACCUACAGGUGGACAGUAAGCCCAGUCUCACUUCAAGAUCUUGUGCAUAGAUAAAGGGGAUAAAAGUGAGUAACCUUUCUUUCCCCUUUCCAACUGUAUCAAGAAGAGAAUGUCUACUUUCAACCCCAUCUCUUUGAAACGUGGGGAUCCACUAAAAAAAAAUUCCUUUCAUUUAGGUGCUGUGAGAACAAAUAAAAAAUGAUCCAGCUUGGUAGCCUCACCUCUUCAGUAACAAGAACUUAACUCAUUUUCUAUCCUUUUAUUUAGCUGUGUCUGUAUUUUGGUGUUUGUGUCCAAUUACAUAUGAUCUAUGCUGUGCGUAUUAUAUCUUUGCUGCCUAAUAGACAGCUCUCAAAAGGUGGAGAAGUUAUUGUAUGCUUGUGUUCAUUUGCUUGUUUUUAAGAAAACCAAAAAAAUUACAUUUGUUCCAAGGUUUGUGUGGGACGAUAAUAAAAUAAUUCAAUUGAAUUCUGUACUGAAGGUGUGCUCAGCCCUGUCAGACUGCAGCUCAUAUGGCUAAUCCCCAGAUGUACAUAGUUUUUUUUGGGGGGGGGGGGAAUGGAAUUUGAUGUUGUGUUGGAUUCAUGGGAUAACCGCCCAUAGUCCAAAACCAAUGGAAAUAAGAAUUUUCAAGGGUUAUUGCUUGAAAAGAAAAAUAAAUGGUCAAAAGAAUGGAAAAAUUGGAGUCAGAAAUGCAAACGACUCAAACAAACGGCAACCAUGCCAUACCUGUUCUUUGUUGUACAUAUUAUGUGUGUUGUGUCUUUGUUCCACGAAAAAGGUUUCCUCCCUUGUGGAGAGAUUUUUAAAAUUUGCUUUUGUGCUAUGUUUUUGUGUUCAUUCAUUUAGUUUUAAAGCUUUUCUUUUUCUUAACCCUUAAUGGACAGCAAGUAACCUUUUAAAGGAAAAUGCCGCUGUUUUAUAACUAUUUAAAACUGUAUGGCUUGGUUUUGGUCUUAAUUUUUGGACCUCUGCUUUUCAUUUUCCUUUCCUUCUCUCUAAAUGUUUGAAUUCAAGUUUUCUGUUUACUUUGAUUUGUUGACUAUUUAGUGUUUCUCCAUGAUUAUUACUGGUUCACAAUGCCUUGCUCUCAGCUCAGCCCUAAACCGGCUGAGCACAAGAUGUCUCUUAAGGUGUCGGUGGAGAGAUCCGAAGCUAGUUGGAGCUUGCCACCAGUCCCUCACGAUUGCGCUUUCAGCCCAGGCUGAGCCGAUCACCCGCUAAUGAUGUCGGUUUUAUGUCUGGUACAGGCUCCAAGUGCCUACAUGUCCCAUAAAACCUCCAGAGGUUUCCAUUUCAGUCUUGGGGCGCUCGCUCGGCUCCCACCUGUCCCUCGCAAACCAGCUGCUUCAGCCAGCACUCCAUCCAGCCGCUUUCCUCUGCUAUCCUGGAAUCUGGGGCGGAGGGGGUCAACGCCUGCAGGGUGGGCAGAAGGGACAGGACCCAAGUUUCCUCUGGUCGAACAAGCGGAGCAAAGGGGGGGGGGGGGAGAUAGACAACACCGAGAGCAACUUUUGUAGCACAGCGUCUACGAGUUCUGUAAUUCAUCUGUGCAACUACAUGUAUUGUUGCAAAACCUUUUCCUAUGGAGUUAUGUACUUAUCCUUUCCUCCUCAGCAAAUAUAUGCAUCAGUGCUGGCGAACCUGUGGCGCGGGUUCCAGAGGUGGCACUCAGAGCCCUCUCUGUUGGCACGCACACACAGAGUUUGUCAUGUGGGGGGGAAAUUGCCCACACACAUACACAUCUUGGCUGGCCUGGGCCGCUGGA